rnacentral:rRNA from 1 species
AGUGAACGCUGGCGGUAGGCCUAACACAUGCAAGUCGAACGGCAGCACAGUAAGAGCUUGCUCUUACGGGUGGCGAGUGGCGAACGGGUGAGGAAUACAUCGGAAUCUACUUUUUCGUGGGGGAUAACGUAGGGAAACUUACGCUAAUACCGCAUACGACCUACGGGUGAAACCAGGGGAUCUUCGGACCUUGCGCGAUUGAAUGAGCCGAUGUCGGAUUAGCUAGUUGGCGGGGUAAAGGCCCACCAAGGCGACGAUCCGUAGCUGGUCUGAGAGGAUGAUCAGCCACACUGGAACUGAGACACGGUCCAGACUCCUACGGGAGGCAGCAGUGGGGAAUAUUGGACAAUGGGCGCAAGCCUGAUCCAGCCAUACCGCGUGGGUGAAGAAGGCCUUCGGGUUGUAAAGCCCUUUUGUUGGGAAAGAAAAGCAGCAGGUUAAUACCCCGCUGUUCCGACGGUACCCAAAGAAUAAGCACCGGCUAACUUCGUG